rnacentral:rRNA from 1 species
UGGGGAAUAUUGGACAAUGGGCGCAAGCCUGAUCCAGCCAUGCCGCGUGCGGGAAGAAGGCCUUCGGGUUGUAAACCGCUUUUGUCAGGGAAGAAACGCUCUGGGCUAAUACCCUGGGGUAAUGACGGUACCUGAAGAAUAAGCACCGGCUAACUACGUGCCAGCAGCCGCGGUAAUACGUAGGGUGCAAGCGUUAAUCGGAAUUACUGGGCGUAAAGCGUGCGCAGGCGGUUAUGCAAGACAGAUGUGAAAUCCCCGGGCUCAACCUGGGAACUGCAUUUGUGACUGUAUAGCUAGAGUACGGUAGAGGGGGAUGGAAUUCCGCGUGUAGCAGUGAAAUGCGUAGAUAUGCGGAGGAACACCGAUGGCGAAGGCAAUCCCCUGGACCUGUACUGACGCUCAUGCACGAAAGCGUGGGGAGCAAACAGGAUUAGAUACCCCCGUAGUCCCUGAGCGGGCUGGCAAGGCGCAU